CAGUAGCCACGGUAAUACGUAGGGUGCAAGCGUUAAUCGGAAUUACUGGGCGUAAAGCGUGCGUAGGCGGCUUUUUAAGUCGGAUGUGAAAUCCCUGAGCUUAACUUAGGAAUUGCAUUCGAUACUGGGAAGCUAGAGUAUGGGAGAGGAUGGUAGAAUUCCAGGUGUAGCGGUGAAAUGCGUAGAGAUCUGGAGGAAUACCGAUGGCGAAGGCAGCCAUCUGGCCUAAUACUGACGCUGAGGUACGAAAGCAUGGGGAGCAAACAGGAUUAGAGACCCCGGUAGUCCCUGUCUCUUAUAC
rnacentral:rRNA from 1 species